GCGCACGCUGGCGGCAGGCCUCACCCAUGCAAGUCGAACGAACUCUUCGGAGUUAGUGGCGGACGGGUGAGUAACACGUGGGAACGUGCCUUUAGGUUCGGAAUAACUCAGGGAAACUUGUGCUAAUACCGAAUGUGCCCUUCGGGGGAAAGAUUUAUCGCCUUUAGAGCGGCCCGCGUCUGAUUAGCUAGUUGGUGAGGUAAAGGCUCACCAAGGCGACGAUCAGUAGCUGGUCUGAGAGGAUGAUCAGCCACAUUGGGACUGAGACACGGCCCAAACUCCUACGGGAGGCAGCAGUGGGGAAUCUUGCGCAAUGGGCGAAAGCCUGACGCAGCCAUGCCGCGUGAAUGAUGAAGGUCUUAGGAUUGUAAAAUUCUUUCACCGGGGACGAUAAUGACGGUACCCGGAGAAGAAGCCCCGGCUAACUUCGUG
rnacentral:rRNA from 1 species